GUACAAUACCGAAAUUGCGGAUUUACACGUAAGUGUAAGUGGUAGGGGAGCGUUCCAAGGGCGUUGAAGGUUGACCGAGAGGACAGCUGGAGCGCUUGGAAGUGAGAAUGCCGGUGUGAGUAGCGCAAGAUGGGUGAGAAUCCCAUCCACCGUUUGCCUAAGGUUUCCUGGGCGAGGUUCGUCCUCCCAGGGUUAGUCGGGUCCUAAGACGAGGCCGAGAGGCGUAGCCGAUGGACAACAGGUUGAUAUUCCUGUACUAUCUAUAAGACUGAUGGAGUGACGGAGAAAGAUAGGAAGAGCCAGUUAAUGGAUUCUGGUCUAAGCACAAAGGUUGAUAAAUAGGGAAAUCCGUUUAUCGUUCAACUGAAGUGUGAUGGUGAAGUACCUAGUACGAAAUCUUCUGACUCUAUGCUUCCAAGAAAAGCUUCUAGGGUUAAUCUUAUAGGUACCCGUACCGAGAACCGACACAGGUGGGCAAGGAGAGUAUCCUAAGGUGAGCGAGAGAACUAUGGUUAAGGAACUCGGCAAAAUAACCCCGUAACUUCGGGAUAAGGGGUGGUCAUUUCGGUGACCGGCACUAAAGACGUCCAGGCAACUGUUUACCAAAAACACAGGUCUCUGCUAAGUCGUAAGACGAUGUAUAGGGGCUGACACCUGCCCAGUGCUGGAAGGUUAAGAGGAGUGCUUAGAUAGACGCGAGUCGAUGAUUCGAAGGUACGAAUUGAAGCCCCAGUGAACGGCGGCCGUAACUAUAACGGUCCUAAGGUAGCGAAAUUCCUUGUCAGGUAAGUUCUGACCCGCACGAAAGGUGUAAUGAUCUGGACACUGUCUCAACCAUAGACUCGGUGAAAUCUUAAUACCUGUGAAAAUGCAGGUUACCCGCAACAGGACGGAAAGACCCCAUGGAGCUUUACUGUAGCUUGAUAUUGAGGUUCGGUGUAUUAUGUAGAGGAUAGGUGGGAGACGAAGAAGCUAGGACGCCAGUUCUAGUAGAGUCAACCUUGGAAUACCACCCUUAAUACAUUGGACUUCUAACCUAGGACCGUGAUCCGGUUCAGGGACAGUGUCUGGUGGGCAGUUUG
rnacentral:rRNA from 1 species